UACGGGGGGGGCAAGCGUUGUUCGGAAUUACUGGGCGUAAAGGGUGCGUAGGCGGGUCUUUAAGUCAGGGGGGAAAUCCUGGAGCUCAACUCCAGAACUGCCUUUGAUACUGAGGAUCUUGAGUUCGGGAGAGGUGAGUGGAACUGCGAGUGUAGAGGUGAAAUUCGUAGAUAUUCGCAAGAACACCAGUGGCGAAGGCGGCUCACUGGCCCGAUACUGACGCUGAGGCACGAAAGCGUGGGGAGCAAACAGG
rnacentral:rRNA from 1 species